AACGAACGCUGGCGGCAGGCCUAACACAUGCAAGUCGAGCGCCCUUUCGGGGGAGCGGCGGACGGGUGAGUAACGCGUGGGAAUAUGCCCUUCUCUACGGAAUAGCCUCGGGAAACUGAGAGUAAUACCGUAUACGCCCUGUGGGGGAAAGAUUUAUCGGGGAAGGAUUAGCCCGCGUUGGAUUAGGUAGUUGGUGGGGUAAUGGCCUACCAAGCCGACGAUCCAUAGCUGGUUUGAGAGGAUGAUCAGCCACACUGGGACUGAGACACGGCCCAGACUCCUACGGGAGGCAGCAAUGGGGAAUCUUAGACAAUGGGGGCAACCCUGAUCUAGCCAUGCCGCGUGAGUGAUGAAGGCCUUAGGGUUGUAAAGCUCUUUCAGCUGGGAAGAUAAUGACGGUACCAGCAGAAGAAGCCCCGGCUAACUCCGUG
rnacentral:rRNA from 1 species